UGUGAUCGUCGCCAUUUUUGUUUCCAAACAUACACUAAUAAUCUAUACCAAGGAUUAUUUAAAUACAAUAAACGUCCAAGAAACGUCGUUGUCUGUGGACAAGGUCAAGAAAUGGAUUGGCAACAAAGUUGCUUCUGUCAAAAGAAAAUGUCAAUCUAAUAAUUCGGAGUCACCUCUACCCUCAUGUAAUCCACCAAAAGUCCCCAAACCACCACCCAGAUUACGGGGGUCAAGCGGAUAUAAUCUAUUUUGCUCAGAAUUUUUUAAAUCAGAUGAAGUAAAGGGGUUGUCUCACCUGAGUGAAAAAAAUAAAUUGGCUUCUGUCAAAUGGAUUGGUUUAUGAGAAUCCGAGCAAAAUAAAUACACACAGAAAGCUAAUGACAUGAAAAACAACCCUGUGACAUUAGAUGAUGCUCAAAGAACAAGAUUGGUUGAUCAGCAUAUGAAAAUUUUAGCUGAGGAGUUCAGUUACUUGGAGUAUCUUGGUUGCCAGGCCAGCUGCUUACUGGUGAAUGGAAAAAAAAAGAACUUUAUGUCCUUGGUUCAUCAGGAGGAAAAAGAUUUGUUCACAAUGAACCAGCAGUUUUGUGCAAGUUUCAAGCAAUGUUUGGUAAAGAGUAAAAAAUUUGCAAAGAUCACAAAUUCGUAAUAGGCAUAAAGUUUAACUUCUGUUGAUAUGUCAGCACCAGUUUCAUGGAUACCAGUUACUGGAUGGUAGUCAAGUACAUACAUAUGACUAAGUUUCAGAGCUUUACUAUAAUGUCAUGUUACGUAUGGUUGCAAAAUGUUCAUCCCAUCUCAAAAUAGCAUAUUUCUAACGAUGUAGACCGAGAAAAACAGAAAUGGACUCAUGAGGAUGUAAGAAUGCUCUUUAACAAGAAGUAUAGUGAAGCAAAAGGUGUGACUGGUUCUCGCGUUCCAUAUCUUUCUGGUGGUUUUCAUGUUGAAGGACUACCAGAUAACAUUCGCCUAAAGAAGCCACGACAAUAUGGCUCAAAGGAAAUACAAAAAAUCAUGGACUGCCAGGACAGUAUUUCCUUCAUUCUUGAAGCGUCAGAAGGUGCACCUUUGUAAGAUUUUGGUGAAGACUGCAAGGAAUUGCACUGAUCUGCUCUCAAGUUUUCCCAAAGGUCUCAUUGGUUUGCAUAAGGCAAAUUGUAUUUCUCAGAUGAUAUAUGGGCAUAUGUGACGAAAAAGAUCUAAUAAAUGCCUUAUAUUAAAUUAACACCUUAUACAUAUUAAACGCCACCGCCCCCUCCUUGCAACGCUUCUUACUAAUAAAGUCCCGUCCUCGAUAGACACCCACCACCUUCACAACAUUAAAUUUAUGAUAUAUUAAUUAUAGUGGGUUCACAAUUUGGCUUAUAAGAAGUUUAGUUUGUCUUAGUUUUGUUUUAUAUUUGUUCACACAAACAACUAAUAUACACGUCUCUCUUUUCAUUUCGCUGCACCACAACAUCUAGAAUUGAUUAAACGCCCUGGCCGUUGAUAAAUUCAUUUACGGUACCAACGAACACUCAAAAUAAAGCAACAUAUAUAUCAUAAAUGAAUUCCACUUUUAACAUUUCGAAAUUCGAAUUCCGCUGCGUCGACAUUUUCACUUUACGGUGCUUUUUGUGAAAUAAACAGCACCGCAUAAUCCAAUAUCAUCGAGCAUAUGUGAUUGAUACACAAAAGUAUGCAGUAGCCAGUAGCAAUGUUUUGUUACAGCAAAUAGUUGACAGUUGUGGCUUUAAAUUUUUUUUAACAAAUUAUGUUUCAAAUAAAAUAUUGAUUUUUUUA